AGAGCGAACGCUGGCGGCAGGCCUAACACAUGCAAGUCGAGCGGUCGUAGCAAUACGGCAGCGGCAGACGGGAGAGUAACACGUGGGAACGUACCCUUUGGUUCGGAACAACACAGGGAAACUUGUGCUAAUACCGGAUAAGCCCUUACGGGGAAAGAUUUAUCGCCAAAGGAUCGGCCCGCGUCUGAUUAGCUAGUUGGUGGGGUAACGGCCCACCAAGGCGACGAUCAGUAGCUGGUCUGAGAGGAUGAUCAGCCUCACUGGGACUGAGACACGGCCCAGACUCCUACGGGAGGCAGCAGUGGGGAAUAUUGGACAAUGGGCGCAAGCCUGAUCCAGCCAUGCCGCGUGGGCGAUGAAGGCCUUCGGGUUGUAAAGCCCUUUCGGCGGGGAAGAGUAAUGACGGUACCCGCAGAAGAAGCCCGGCUAACUUCGUGCCAGCAGCCGC
rnacentral:rRNA from 1 species